ensembl:lncRNA
GUUCGGUGGAACGUAAGUGCGUUAUCAUGGGAUGCUGUCUUCAAAUCUUGUCCCAAAUGGCAGUAACCUACUGGAAAGUGCAUAAAAUGUGGUGAGUAAUUGACUCAAAGAGAGAGAAAGACAAUAGUUGAACACUUUUGAACAAAUUCAUUUAUUCCAAAAUGAAGGAAAAGCAAAAGAGAAAUAUAUGGAUUUCGUCAGUGUUUUUCACUUUCAUUUUCACUUACUUAGCUAGCAAACGGAGUUAGCUAGUUUAGCCUACUGAAAGAAACACCCUGCUCCAACAGAUGGAUUCUAUGUUAGCUAGCUGGCUAUGGCUAUCCAACACAACACUGAAACUCUUCCAAGUCAAGUGCUGUACUACUUACUGUACCAUUGGGGAUCUGCUGCAUGGUUUGUCGUAUUGGAUCCUCUGCUCAGCUGUGGGAACAUUGCCUGGUGACGUCAUUGGCCUGCAACUCCACUGUAGUCAGCCAGGUAUUUCUCUGGUUGAGAGGCAAGGAAUCAGCAGCGGUGGCAUCAUUGCUUAGAGACUGAAACACACAGGAGGACCUCAGGUAAGUGGCAUGUGAACACAAAUGGUAAAUGACACUCACGCCAAUAAACAGCACACCAGUGGCACACAAUAUCAGUAACAAUGGAGCAGUGAUCAUAGUUAAAUUCACAGUCGAUGUACAAUAACUACUCACUCAGUAAUGUUAAAUAGUUAGGUUGCAGCUGUGACAGUGAUGACAGUCACACCUGGAUCCAAUUUGCUGACUGUAAAUUGCUUUCAAUAAAAGCGUCUGCUAAAUGACCACCAUGUAAAUACAAAAAUGAACACUUGCAAAGCACUCUGGGUAUUAUUUUAAUGUGCUCCAGCCAUUAACAAGACCCAAUUUUGUCAGGCAGGACCAAAUCGGAACCAACCCUGGGCAAGUCUAUGUUUGGGCCAUAUCAGGGCCGGUCCAGACCGGACCAAAUCUGAACCAAACAACGUCUGUGGUUAUAGUCGUCUAUAC